AAAUUAUAAAUGGGUAAAAAAAAACUAAAGUCGCUUACUAAAACUAAAAGGAAAUUUUCAUUGAAGCGGGUUUGAGAAACUAAAAGGGUUCUUUUUCUCACGGUUUUAACCUAGAUUUACAAAACUAAUAAUCAUAUCUUCGAUUGUUCUUCUUCUUUUUCUAAUCAUCGUUCUUCUGCAGAGCUUUGGUUCACAAAACUAUUCAUCGUCUCUUUGACUAUUUGCCGUUCUUCAACGGAACUUUGGUCUUGAUGAUUAUUUCGCAAAGGAUUCUAUUGAGGGACAAAUUCAUGCUUUUGGUGUUUGAUAAUCGUGGAAUUAUGGUGUUUGAUGAUUGUGAAAUUAUGAUAUAAUUAGGAAGUAAGAACACGUCUUAUUUGUGGAUUAUGACAUAAUUAAGAAGAUGGUAGGAAGAGCAUAGAUUGAAGUUCAUGUGGACUGAGUUUGGACGAAUAAAUUAAAUGUUAGAUAGAUUCUAGAUUAAUUUCUUGAACUAUUAGUUCUUUUUGGAGAUUCAUUAGCUUUCUUAAUUGAUGUAUUUAUAUUAUAGUAAUGGUUUUUUUUUAUUAGAAUGAUCAUUAAGGAGAUUUUAUUUUUAAAUUUUA